AUGCAUCUAUUUGACAGACCUGGAGCAAAUGUCCAUUGCUUUUCUGGUUCUUACAGAGAUGCAACAGUAAUGGGUUCCUUGCGCUUUCUACCUGUCUGGUCUUGUGGCAGCCUGGAUUGAAUAAAGGAAUACAAAU
ensembl:snoRNA